UGCAGUCGACGGCAGCGCGAGAGAGCUUGCUCUCUUGGCGGCGAGUGGCGGACGGGUGAGUAAUGUAUCGGAACGUGCCCAGUAGCGGGGGAUAACUACUCGAAAGAGUAGCUAAUACCGCAUACGCCCUACGGGGGAAAGGGGGGGAUCGCAAGACCUCUCACUAUUGGAGCGGCCGAUAUCGGAUUAGCUAGUUGGUGGGGUAAAGGCCUACCAAGGCGACGAUCCGUAGCUGGUUUGAGAGGACGACCAGCCACACUGGGACUGAGACACGGCCCAGACUCCUACGGGAGGCAGCAGUGGGGAAUUUUGGACAAUGGGGGAAACCCUGAUCCAGCCAUCCCGCGUGUAUGAUGAAGGCCUUCGGGUUGUAAAGUACUUUUGGCAGAGAAGAAAAGGCGCCCUCUAAUACAGGGCGCUGCUGACGGUAUCUGCAGAAUAAGCACCGGCUAACUACGUGCCAGCAGCCGCGGUAAUACGUAGGGUGCAAGCGUUAAUCGGAAUUACUGGGCGUAAAGCGUGUGUAGGCGGUUCGGAAAGAAAGAUGUGAAAUCCCAGGGCUCAACC
rnacentral:rRNA from 2 species